rnacentral:rRNA from 1 species
GACGAACGCUGGCGGCGUGCCUAAUACAUGCAAGUAGGCCGCAGUUGCGAACGGGUGAGUAACGCGUAGGUAACUGCCUCUUAGAGGGGGAUAACUAAUGGAAACGAUCGCUAAUACCGCAUACUAGUAGAUGGACCUGAGUUGUAUUGGAUAGUAGGUAGGGUAAUGGCCUACCUAGGCGACGAUACAUAGCCGACCUGAGGGGGUGAUCGGCCAACCUGGGACUGAUACACGGCCCAGCCUCCUACUGGAGGCAGCAGUAGGGAAUCGUCGGGAAUGGGUGGAACCCUGACCGAGCACCGCCGCGUGAGUGAAGAAGUUUUUCGGAUCGUAAAGCUCUGUUGUUAAGGAAGCGGUACUUAACCAGAAAGGGACGGCUAACUACGUGCCAGCAGCCGCGGUAAUAC